rnacentral:rRNA from 1 species
AGAGUUUGAUCCUGGCUCAGAUUGAACGCUGGCGGCAUGCCUAACACAUGCAAGUCGAGCGGCAGUGCGGGGCGACCCUCGCGGCGAGCGGCGGACGGGUGAGUAAGGCAUCGGAAUCUGCCCUCGAUGUGGGGGAGUAACGUAGGGAAACGUUACGCUAAUACUGCAUACGACCGAGAGGUGAAAGACGGGGGACCGGAAAGGACCUCGCGCAGCAGGAUGAGCCGAUGUCCGAUUAGCUGGUUGGUGGGGUAACGGGCCCACCCAAGGCGACGAUCGGUAGCUGGUCUGAGAGGAUGAUCAGCCACACUGGGAC